rnacentral:lncRNA from 1 species
UUAUUUUAGUAAAAAAACUCGUUUUAAAAGCUUAUAGACAAUGUGAAAGCAAGCUAUGGGGUUUUUUACUAAAAUAAUAUUUAAAAAAAUACCAAAAUAGUAUCUUUAAAAAAUUAUGUACCAAAAUGGUACAUUUAGGGUGGUGGAGGGUGGUGCAUAGGCGACAUCACCCUAGUUUUGACAAAAAAUAAAAAAUAAAACUGCUUAAAGAAACAAAAAAAAAUAAAACUGUUAAAAAAACAAAACUGAUGGGACAUCACACACUGGUCACGCCUAUAGCAGAGGCGGCACCAGUCAAGACAUCUCCAUAGGCGGCACCCACUCCCCCC